rnacentral:rRNA from 1 species
UUGCACGCCGGCGGCAGGCCUAACACAUGCAAGUCGCGCGGAUGAAGGGAGCUUGCUCCUGGAUUCAGCGGCGGACGGGUGAGUAAUGCCUAGGAAUCUGCCUGGUAGUGGGGGAUAACGUCCGGAAACGGGCGCUAAUACCGCAUACGUCCUGAGGGAGAAAGUGGGGGAUCUUCGGACCUCACGCUAUCAGAUGAGCCUAGGUCGGAUUAGCUAGUUGGUGGGGUAAAGGCCUACCAAGGCGACGAUCCGUAACUGGUCUGAGAGGAUGAUCAGUCACACUGGAACUGAGACACGGUCCAGACUCCUACGGGAGGCAGCAGUGGGGAAUAUUGGACAAUGGGCGAAAGCCUGAUCCAGCCAUGCCGCGUGUGUGAAGAAGGUCUUCGGAUUGUAAAGCACUUUAAGUUGGGAGGAAGGGCAGUAAGUUAAUACCUUGCUGUUUUGACGUUACCAACAGAAUAAGCACCGGCUAACUUCGUG